AUUUUCCUAUAAUAAAAUUGUGAAACUAGAGCUAUAAGAAUGAUUAUACCAGUUCGAUGUUUUACGUGUGGUAAAGUUAUUGGUAAUAAAUGGGAGGCAUAUAUUGGUUUAUUACAGGUGGAGUAUACCGAGGGUGAUGCCUUGGAUGCUCUUGGAUUACGAAGAUAUUGCUGUCGAAGAAUGCUGCUUUCUCAUGUGGAUCUUAUUGAAAAACUUCUUAAUUACGCCCCUCUUGAAAAAUAAUCACUUUGAUUAAAAUGAUUAUUAAAAAACAAUAACUGUGAACUUUUUGAAAUAACAAUAUAAAUAUUUUGGAGCUGAAAUGUGUAAGCAGUGUUAAUAGAGAUUGUUAAAUACCAGGCUGGGAAUUAAUGAGUUUAGUAAAACCUGACUUUGUAACAACUGUCAUUCAAAAGCCAUUAAACAAUAAAAGCACUCUAAUAACAUAACAUACAGAUGUGACGUCAUCUUUUUCAGUCAGCAUACCAUUAUUUCAAAUAAUGGUAAGGGCAACAUGCCAAUCGUACAUUAGUGAAAUAUUGAACUCACUGAUGAUUUUGUUGAAAUGUACAUGCAGGAUGGUGUCUGUAUUGUAAGAAUAGUCUAGAGCUAGACAUUGCAUUGUAUAUUGAUACAAUUUACUGUAUCAAUAUAUUACUUAAUGUCUAGUUCUCAACCAUUAAACAACACAUAAUAACAAAAUAUUUAGAUAAUUUUUCAGCAGACAAAAUUUAUAUCUUUCUUUGUUAUUGUGAUUGAAUUAUCAUUCUGCCAUUUGUAUUAUAUUCAUAUUGUAAAAUAAAUCCAUUUAUCAACUGC